AUUCCGAACCCGGAAGCUAAGCCUUACAGCGCCGAUGGUACUGCAGGGGGGGACCCUGUGGGAGAGUAGGACGCCGCCGAAC
rnacentral:rRNA from 1 species